AUUGAACGCUGGCGGCAUGCCUAAUACAUGCAAGUCGAGCGGAGCGGCGAACGGGUGAGUAAUGCCUAGGAAUCUGCCUGGUAGUGGGGGAUAACGUCCGGAAACGGGCGCUCAUCCCGCAUACACUCAGAUGAGCCUAGGUCGGAUUAGCUUGUUGGAGGGGUAAAGGUCUACCAAGGCGACGAUCCGUAACUGGUCUGAGAGGAUGAUAAGGCAGACUGGAACUGAGACACGGUCCAGACUCCUACGUGAGGCAGCAGUGGGGAAUAUGGGACAAUGGACGAAAGCCUGAUCAAGCAAAGCCGCGUGUGUGAAGAAGGUCUUCGGAUUGUAAAGCUCUGUAAGUGGGGAGGCGUUACCAACAGAGUAAGCAACGGCUAACUGCGUGCCAGCAGCCGCGGUAAUAC
rnacentral:rRNA from 1 species